CAUACAGUACUCUACUAUCGCUUGGUGCGGACUGAUCAGUACGCAUGUUGUGCGUGGGACAGACUGCGGCAACAGGAUAGGACAGAAUUGACAGGAUAGGGCAAAUGGUGUCUAAAGGAGCGAUAUUGUAAUGGUAGGAAGGCUAUGCUGGUGAAGAAAGUGAGAGUUUCCACUGGCCAAAGCUUUCCUAGUUGUGCAACAGUCUUUGUUCCAUGACGUUUUGCGUGAGAGAGCGCACAGGACCCGGAUUCAGUGUGUGAUUUUCAAGAAAGUGAAGAAGAAUGGUGUCAUUUGAGACUUGAAUGCCUACAAGGGUGACAACAUGGCAGCACACGGUGUGGUGGUUAGUGAGGGAGGAGUGGCAAGGGAGACUGACACGAAAACAGAGCAGCGAGAGAAAUUGGCCUUCCCGAAGAGACAUUCUUUUUUGGCUCUUGACUGAUGAAGCGCGACAGGAGGUGUGGCUGCAGCCAUCCACUUGGACACUUCGGUCGAAGCACUUCUUCCAUGUCCGAAGUCCAGAUACCAUCCACUUGUGGUUCUUCAUCAUCGUCAUCACCUUCAUCGUGUUGGGUAAUUAUCGGCCGUCCACUUGUGGAUUUCGUUGCAAGCCUUCUUGAGGACAUGAGGCAUAAACUGGGCAGAGCAAAGCGACGAGUUUUGUGGUGCCGGAAGGAGCUGGACAAGGCCAGACAUGAACUUUAUCAUGAAGUCCCACAAGCAUCGCUUUAUGAUCUGCGAAGUGGCAGUAAUGUAUUUAACUGCAUUUAUGGCGGUCGACACACGUUUUGCGACUUGUUGACACUGAUCCAGAGGGAGUUGCUAACCGAAGGCCUAUACUCUCCGCUCAAGGCCUACUGAUUCGCUCUCCGCCUUCUCCUAUAGCGCGCCGUAGACAUUACAACAGACGGCGCCUUUUUUGCACAAUGAGCCUUCGAAUGCUGAGGCAUUAUAAAAUCAUCAUCAAAAUACAGCUUGGCGCCCUCGUGGUGUCCACCGACACUCACUCCCAGAUGUUCGCGCGAUAGACAAGCAUGAUAUCUUUCCUCCAGUCUUAUCGAGCGGCUUUUCAGUUUUCGAAUCCGAAUCGGACGGCGUUCGCUAGUCAUUGUAAUCGCUUCGCUGUUUGGCCAAUAUGUAUA